rnacentral:lncRNA from 1 species
AACUAGAGGCUCUAAAGAGCCUGUGUCGCUCACCUAGGUCUAUGUGAAUAUUAAACAAUGGACACAGAUGGAUUCAUGACAAAAUUGUGUUUUGGUGAUGGUGAUGUGUUUGUAGAUCUUACUUUACUAAACAUUCUUGCUGCUUACAAUUAUCUCUAUCUAUAACAGUACUUUCUGUGGAAAAUGUUAUUGAAAAUCUUCAAAUUUUAAGAAAAUUG